AUUGCUACAACAAAGUCUUUUUUUUGGGAACUUGAUAUGUCAAAAUUUCUAAGCGAGGCGAAUUAAAUUCUAUUCGCCGUGACUUUUCAAAUUUUGGGCAAAUUUGAUACGACCGAAUCAGAGCAAGAAUUUUAUUUAUUUUUAAGUGUCAAGUAAGAAAAAACAAAUGUCAAGUUAUUGUAGAGGUAUAUCGCUACCAAGUGGAGAUGAUGUUGAAUGCUGUAGAAAAUACGCGUAGUACUAUCAAAAGGCUCAAAUAGGAAGAUUGUGACUCGAGCCCAAUCAGUUCUUUCAGCUGGGUUGAUGCGGCUACCUUAUAAAUACGCCUUGUCCUAAAUAGAUUUUUUGGUGAUGAUGAUGAUGACAUUUCAAGCAAACAUUUUUUUAAGUGAAAAAAAAAUAUGUAACAGAUGACAAAAUCGACGACUGGAUCAAUAUGAAAAAAUAUGUUUAUAUACGUUGGGUCCAAAUAACAAGAAAGGACCUAUAAAAUGUGAAAUGUUUCGUUGAUGUUGACCAGACACUAAACACAUAAAUCUAGACUGACAUUAACUUUUAGUUGUCCGGGGAUUUUUUUUAGCACUUGUAACAAAAAAUCAAAUUAAUAAAAUAUGGACUAACGAAAAAUCACGGUUACCAAUAAAUAACUUAAACGAUAUCAUCAAAUUAAAUUGUAGCAUAAACUUUUCAUGUCAGAA